GAUGAACGCUGGCGGCGUGCCUAAUACAUGCAAGUCGAGCGAACAGACGAGGAGCUUGCUCCUCUGACGUUAGCGGCGGACGGGUGAGUAACACGUGGAUAACCUACCUAUAAGACUGGGAUAACUUCGGGAAACCGGAGCUAAUACCGGAUAACAUGUUGAACCGCAUGGUUCAACAGUGAAAGACGGUCUUGCUGUCACUUAUAGAUGGAUCCGCGCCGCAUUAGCUAGUUGGUAAGGUAACGGCUUACCAAGGCAACGAUGCGUAGCCGACCUGAGAGGGUGAUCGGCCACACUGGAACUGAGACACGGUCCAGACUCCUACGGGAGGCAGCAGUAGGGAAUCUACCGCAAUGGGCGAAAGCCUGACGGAGCAACGCCGCGUGAGUGAAGAAGGUCUUCGGAUCGUAAAACUCUGUUAUUAGGGAAGAACAAAUGUGUAAGUAACUAUGCACGUCUUGACGGUACCUAAUCAGAAAGCCACGGCUAACUACGUG
rnacentral:rRNA from 1 species